rnacentral:rRNA from 1 species
UAGUUGUAUUAAUUAUGUCUUUAGUUAAAUGCAGCAUCGACUAUGUCGAAUAAAGUUCUAGGUAGAGUUAUGAUAAUGACAUUUUCUACCUAUGUGUCUUGACCAAAUCACGUGCCAGCAGUCGCGGAAAUACGUGGAAGACUAGUGUUAUUCAUCUUUAAUAGGUUUAAAGGGUACUUAGACGGUAAAUUAAGCCCAGAUAAAAAUAAAGGGUACUAAUUAUACUAGAGUUUAAAUGAGAGGGGGGGUGUAGUAGUGGUGUAGAGAUGAAAUUCUGUCAUACCAAGAUGACAGGCAACGGCGCAAGCAACCUUUUAUGUGUAGACUGACGUUAAAGGACGAAGGCUUUGUAUCACCAACAGGAUUAGGUACCCAAGCAGUCUUAGCAGACAAUUCUGAAUGCCAUAGAUAAGAAAAGAUUCUUUUCUCUCUAUCUCUAUUAAUAAAAAGAGAUAGAUGUUAUUUUGUCUAUAAAUGAAAGUGUAAGCAUUCCACCUCAAGAGUAAUGUGGCAACGCAUAAACUGAAAUCAUUAGACCGUUUCUGAAACCAGUAGUGAAGUAU